rnacentral:misc_RNA from 1 species
UUAAGGAUUCUGGAUGAC